rnacentral:rRNA from 1 species
GUCCAGACUCCUACGGGAGGCAGCAGUGAGGAAUAUUGGUCAAUGGUCGGGAGACUGAACCAGCCAAGCCGCGUGAGGGAUGAAGGUACAGAGUAUCGUAAACCUCUUUUGUCAGGGAACAAAGGCGGGGACGUGUCCCCGGAUGAGUGUACCUGAAGAAAAAGCAUCGGCUAACUCCGUGCCAGCAGCCGCGGUAAUACGGAGGAUGCGAGCGUUAUCCGGAUUUAUUGGGUUUAAAGGGUGCGCAGGCGGCGUGUCAAGUCAGCGGUAAAAUGUCGGGGCUCAACCCCGGCCGGCCGUUGAAACUGGCAGUCUCGAGUUGGAGAGAAGUAUGCGGAAUGCGCGGUGUAGCGGUGAAAUGCAUAGAUAUCGCGCAGAACUCCGAUUGCGAAGGCAGCAUACCGGCGCCACACUGACGCUGAGGCACGAAAGCGUGGGUAUCGAACAGGAUUAGAUACCCGAGUAAU